UUCUAGAGGACUGGGCGGGGAGAUGGUGUCUUCCCGGCCGGGUGGCACUGACCGGUCAUGCUCAGGGCCCCCUUCUGGUUGCCGGUGCCUCACCUCUGGCCAGGUGGCAUCGGCUUCCGGGUAAAUCUGAGCUGCCCAAAGCGAGCCUCCGGAGGCUGCUCCAUCUCCUGGAACGUUUACUCAUUCAGGCCUCUGGACGUCGAUACUGGGGAUGAAAAGUUCAGAAAGUGGACAGGUUCCUGGUCUUCAGUCCAGACCUACUGAGUUAAAAUAUUGAGGAGAGAUGGAGCUCAACAGAUGCCCUAGGUGACUCUGAUGUGGCCUAAGUCUGGGGAAACAGUACACCCUGCAGUACUUCUCCAACCUAACAGAAAUGCGGAUUCUGAUUCGGAAUGUUUCCUGAAAUAUACCUGAGCUUGGAACAGCAUGGAUCUGUACGAGCUGGUGCCCCACUAGUUGAUGACAUGGCUUCAUGAAAACAGAGGAGCACCUCACCACUAGAAGAGACCCUUGCAGUAGGAAACAAAGCUGCAUGAGAAAAGGUCUUCCUCCAGCUGCAGCACCUGCUUCAGGGCCUUGGCCACCACGACCUUCCGCUUCUGCAGAAACUCCAGCUCUGCUGGGCACAGGCUGAAGCCCAGCCGCACGUCCAGUGUCUCAGGGCUGGAGGGAGAGAGGACCCUGUAUUGGGCCUGCAGCCUCUACCUCCCUGGAGUAGACACAGCUUCAGGGUCCAUUGGACCUAGGCUCAAAGCCUACUUCUGCCAGCGACCACUUCUGUGACCUUGGGUCUCCACUUUCCCAUCUGUAAAGUGGGGCGAAUCGUGCUGAACUCUCAGCACUGUCUUCAGCACUUAAAGAGAUAACAAAUGCAAAGCCCCCAAAGCCUUAGCUGGCACAAUGCGAGCUGGUACUCAACAAAAGAUAACUGUUGGCACUGUGUUAGGGACGCUUUGAGUCCUCUGUCUCCUCGGCCAGAUCUGGAAAGUCCAGAAAGUCUUCCCCCAGGUGGCUUCUCUAGCCCAGGGCCAGGCAUGGGUGACAAAAGGCGCUGAGAUCAUUUUGCCAAAUCCCUCUGAACAAGGCCCCACGGUAUGGACUCUUCUGUGCUAGGUAAACAAACUCCCUGUUCCUAUGGAGCUCACGUUCUUCAAUGAGCUCUUCCUGCUCCUAGAAUAACAAUUAUUCUGUGUGUGUGUGCAAUUGACAAAAACCAUCCCAUUCCUGAUCUCAUUGUGUCACCUCAUAGUCUGCAGGCAGGUGGGGCAGGCACCUCUGUGACAUGCACAAUGCUUGUCCUCUUUUUUUUUUUUAAUCACAUCCCUGCCCCAAACAAGUCCAGGCUCCUGGCCUGGCAUCCAAGACCCUGCCUGAUCUUUCCAAGCUCACCUCAAACUACCCGCGAAACUUCUGGGUCAGGUCCCAGAGCUCCCAGAAGCAGUCCUGUUUCCGGGUCUUGGCACAGGCCCCUGCCUUCACCAGAAGUGUCUUCCCUUUGCCCACCUCCAGCCUGUGCAUCCUCUGAGGCCCAGCUCCCCAGUGACUCCAGAUGAAUGUACCUUGACCAUUUCCAACUGAGCCUUGGCUCACUGACAAAGCCACAUCUCCUUGAAGGCUGGGCCUAGGAGAUUUCCAUCAUGUCUCCUCUUUGUCCAGCACAGGGCUGCAGACAUGGCUGUUAGAAAAUAAUUCUUUCUUUGGCCUCAACAGGGAAUGAAUAAUAAUAAUACAACAACAAUAAUAACAAUAACAUUAGCUGACGUUUGCUGAGCAUCCCACUUGCCAGAUGGAUUACUGAGUACUUCGCACGUGCUGUCUAGCUGGAUCCUCAGAGCAACCCAGUGAUGCACAGGAUCCUUGUUAUUCUCCCAAUGUACAGAUGAGGAAAACAGAGACUCAGUAAGGGCAAAGAGCUUUUCCAAGGGCAAAUAGCUAAUCAAACUGUCAAUAGAAAUCAUGGCCACUUGAUUUCUGACAAUCAAGAUUUCUGAAAACGAUGUUGUUUUCAGCAGAUGGUGCUGAGACAUCUGGAUAUCCACAUGCCAAAGAACGAGGUUGAGCCCCUCUUUUACACCAUGUAGAUUGAUUACCUAAAAAUUGAUCAUAGACCUAAAUGUGAGAGCUAAAACUAAACAAGUCUUAGAAAAAAACAUGGGAAUAUAUUUUCAGGACUUUGGUCGGGCGCGGUGGCGCACGCUUGUAAUCCCAGCACUUUGGGAAGCCGAGGAGGGUGGAUCACUUGAGGUCAGGAGUUCGAGACCAGCUGGCCAAUACGGUGAAACCCCGUCUCUACUGAAAAUACAAAAAUUAGCCAGGUGUAGAGGUGUGCAUCUGUAAUCCCAGCUACUGGGGAGGCUGAGGCAGGAGAAUCGCUUAACCCAGGAGACAGAGGUUGCAGUGAGCUGAGAUCACACCACUGCACUCCAGCCUGGGCGACAGUGAGACUCCAUUUCA
rnacentral:lncRNA from 1 species